rnacentral:sRNA from 1 species
AAGAAAUCCACAAAGACUCACAGUCUGCUGGUGGGCAGAGAAGACAGAAACGACAUGAGCACAGCAGGAAAAGUAAUCAAAUGCAAAGCAGCUGUGCUGUGGGAGGUAAAGAAACCCUUUUCCAUUGAGGAUGUGGAGGUUGCACCUCCUAAGGCUUAUGAAGUUCGCAUUAAGAUGGUGGCUGUAGGAAUCUGUCGCACAGAUGACCACGUGGUUAGUGGCAACCUGGUGACCCCUCUUCCUGCGAUUUUAGGCCAUGAGGCAGCCGGCAUCGUGGAGAGUGUUGGAGAAGGGGUGACUACAGUCAAACCAGGUACAGGAUUCACACUCAGGGAACACGUGUGGUUCACCAUCCAGGAUUUCCCAGCCUGGAUAAGGAAACCAAGGCAAUGAGAGACGAAAGGGCUUGCACAAGGUCACCGCGCAGCCAGGACUUCAGGAGUUUCCUCUUUCCCUCUCUGCCUGCCUGACUCAAGCAUGUAUGCAUUCAGGCACUCAUGUAUUGUACCCUUCAACCAUUAUGUACUGAGUAUCUACUAGACGCCAGGCAGCAGGUUAGAGCCUGGAGAUAUGUGAGGAUCAAAAGAGACACAGUGCCUACCACUGUGGCAUUCAUAGUCCAGUAAUUCUGUGUUAGUGUUGGCUGAACACUGUCUUCUGUCAGGGUCCAGAUAGAAGCAGAAACGGGAGGAGG